ACCCCAUUCCCUUAAUCCCCCAGGUUUGCAGGUACGAGAUAGACCAGGAAGUCAGCAAGAGUAAAGAAGUCAUGUUAUAUGUAAUAGUUAGAUGUGGAUAUGUAAUAUAAAGUAUAGUAAUGUAAUGUAAUGUAAUGAUGUAUAUUGAGGUUUAGAGUUGUGCUUGACCCUAGUAUGUAAAGUAAAUCCCUUUUGCACAUGAUCUAUGAAAUGUUUUAAUGAUGAUUUAUGUAAACCAAGCUUAAUGUAUGAUAUGUUACCCCAUUGGAGCAUUUGAUGAGGGCUCCAGUGUGGGGUUUUAUAUUUAUGGCUAUGUGUAUGCACAGGUUAAGCUUGGUAAAUGAAAGAAAAAGUUUAAAGUUUUUAUGUAUAUGUUUGAUCAUGUAUGGGAUUUAACAGGUAUACAGGAGGUAUGUUAGGCUUGCUACGGGUCCCGGCGGCCUUAAGCCGAUCUGGAUCCUAGCGCCGGUAGCGGUCCAGUUUUCGGGUCGUUACAGAUUGGUAUCAGAGCCCUAGGUUCAUAUGGUCGGACCUAUAGUGUGUCGGGCUCAUAGAGGUUAUAGAAGGGCAAGCACAAUAGGAAAAUCAUGUCCACUAGGAUAGGAUGUAGAGUCUUGUCUUGAAUAAUGAUGUGAAAUGCCAUGAUUUUAUGCAUGUGCAUUGAUGAUAUGCUGUGUAUGUGAUGUAUGUGAUGCGGGUUCAUGUGUUUCCACAUGAACCAUAUGAUGCUAAUGUUUUAUGUGAUGUGUGCUGUUUUUCAGUAAGCAAGAUGAGAGGAACUCGUCGAUCUGCACGAUUGACUGGAGUACCACCUCAGGAUGAGGGCACGGAUGCCCGUCCUCCUGCAUUGCCUAGGGCAAUGUCCUGCAGGUCUAGUAGGGAGAGAGUGUCAAGGGACCCUAGAAGGUCUUUUGAUAUGAGCAGAAGAGGAACAGUUCAAGCUGGAGUGUUAGAAGAUGUGGGGGAUGAUAUGGAUGUGGAUUAGAGGAGGGAUGGCAGUCUUAGUGUGAGCAUGUUGGAAGAGGGCAUGGUAGAGUCUCAGGGAGGCACUCAGGCCUCGGGGUUUGUUCAACCACCCCAAUACCCACCCUUUUCACAGAAUCCCGGGUAUUCGAUGAGAGGUACAUCGGAUUACGCCAGUUUUAACCCUUAUCCUUCUUACAUACCAUACCCACCUUUCUACCCACCAUACUCACAGUACCCUAUGUACCCACCCCCAUCCUUUUAUCCAGGUACAACAAACCCUAAUCCAGGGAAUGUUGCGCCUCCUCCACCACCAGCAGAACCUAUAGUCCCAGAAGCCCAAGUACCUAAACCUAGCUCAUCUGGAGGGAGCAAGGCCAAGAUGACUGACUACUUGAAGUUGGAUGCUCCUAAGUAUGAAACAGGUGAUAAUCCGUUUGAGUACCUCAGGAUGGUCAAGAUGAUAACAGAUGAGUUAGGGGCAGAUGACAGUAGAGCCAUUCAGAUGGCUGGGUUCACACUGAAGUGCAAAAAGGCGGGAGAGUGGUUUAAAAACUACGUGAACCCGAGGUUGGAUAGUCUAUCAUGGGAGGAGUUUGCUAAUGGGUUUGCAGGAUGGGCUUUCCUUGAUAGCUCAAGGGAGUUGAAGAUGAUCGAGUUUGAACAGUUGAGGUAGUCAGAGGAGAUGAGUGUAGAUGAGUUCACAGAUAAGUUCUUGGAGCUGUUGCCGUUUGCAGGGCAAAAUCUGGACACAGAUCAAAAGAAGGCUAGGAGGUAUAUCAUGAAGCUUCAUUCUAGGUAUUCCUCCUUGAUCCAAUCAGCAGAGAGGGAGAAUUUCCAUGCCAUAGUGGAUAUGGCCCAGAGGAUGGAGGCUAGUGCAAUAAUCGAAUGAAAAGUUAAGCAGUCAGUGGCACAGCCUUUUGGUUUCAAAACCCCAGGUGGGGGAAAGUUAGACCCUCCUUUUUUGAGUGCAGCAGUUUCAGGCAGUAAAAAGUGGGGUAAUACCACUAAGAAGUCAAAGAAGAACAAGUUUUGGAACAAGAUAAAGUCAGGUCUGGGAUUAGGAGGUGGCUCAAGCUCAGGUGCAGACAGUGCAGUAUGUAUGAAGUGUGGGAAGCCGCAUAAGGGAGUAUGUCGGUUUGGGACGACAGCCUGUUUCAUAUGUGGGCAGGAGGGACACAUGGCACGGGAGUGUCCUAGAGCAGCUUUUAUGGCACAGUCCCAGCAGACAGCUUCUGGUAGUGUGGCUCAGCCAGUAGCUCCAGCUGCGACUCAGGCCAGUGGCAGAGGCAGAGGGAGAGGGGCAGCCUCUUCUUCAACGGGCUUCAGGGGUGAAGGUCCAUCAGCUCCAGCGCGGAUCUUCACUAUGACACAGCAGGAGGCAAAUGCAUCAAACACCGUGGUGUCAGGUAAUCUCAUCAUUGGUUGUUCGGAUGUUUAUGCCUUAAUGGACCCUAGUGCAUCUCAUUCUUUUGUUGCUCCGAGCGCCGUUGAGAGGUUGGGUUUGAUUGUCUCUGGGUUAGAGUGUCCCCUAUGGGUCAGUGGACCCAAGUGUGACCCGUCAGUGGCAGAGUCAGUCUGCCGGCUUUGUCCAGUAUUUGUGGAGAGUAGAUGCCUUCCAGUCGACCUUGUGGUUAUAGAUUUGAUGGAUUUUGAUGUCAUUCUAGGGAUAGAUUGGCUAUCUACCCAUAGUGCUACCUUGGACUGCAGAGACAAGGUAGUCUGGUUCAGAGGUCAGGAUGGGUUAGAGGUUGUCUUCAGAGGAGACAGGAGGGGUACACCUAAAGGUUUGAUAUCAGCCCUACAGGCUCGUAGGUUGCUCAGGAGGGGUUGUCAGGGUUUUCUAGCUCAUGUGAGAGAGCUGGAUAGUCAUGUUAGAGAGCCCGCCUCAGUGCCCUGGUUAGAGAGUUUUUAGAUGUCUUCCCAGAUGAGCUGCCAGGUUUACCACCUACUAGGGAGAUAGAGUUUGAAAUAGAAUUGAUGCCUGGAACCAGACCAAUCUCUAUCCCUCCCUACAGGAUGGCACCAGCUGAGUUGAAAGAGUUGAAAGAACAGUUGCAAGAGUUGGUAGAUAAGGGCUUCAUCCAACCGAGUACCUUACCUUGGGGCACUCCAGUGCUGUUUGUGAAAAAGAAGGAUGGAUCCCUUAGACUUUGUAUCGACUACAGGCAGUUGAACAAAGUCACUACGAAGAAUAAGUACCUGUUGCCUAGGAUUGAUGAUCUAUUCGACCAGCUAGCAGGAGCAGGUUGUUUCUCCAAGAUAGAUCUGAGAUCCGGGUACCAUCAGUUGAGAAUAAGAGAAGAGGAUAUGCUGAAGACGGCGUUCAGAACCAGAUAUGGGCACUAUGAGUUCCUUGUGAUGCCGUUCGGGUUAAUUAAUGCCCCUGCAGUAUUCAUGGACCUCAUGAAUAGAGUUUUCAGUCAGUAUCUGGAUCACUUUGUUAUUGUCUUCAUAGAUGAUAUCUUAGUGUAUUCCAGGAAUGCAGAGGAGCAUGCCCAUCAUCUGAGGUUAGUCUUGCAGACCUUGAGGGAACACGGCUUGUAUGCCAAGUUCUCCAAGUGUGAGUUCUGGUUGAGAAGCAUUUCAUUCUUGGGGCAUGUUGUGUCAGAGAAUGGAAUAGAAGUGGACCCUAAGAAGGUGGAAGCUGUAGCUAACUGGCCUAGACCCACUACAGUGACAGAGAUCAAGAGUUUCUUGGGUUUGGCAGGUUACUACAGGAGGUUCGGAUAGGACUUCUCAAAAAUUGCUGCUCCUAUGACCAGAUUAACUAAGAAGAAUCAGAGGUUUGUGUGGAUUGACCAGUGUGAAGAGAGCUUCGAAGAGCUGAAGAAAAGGUUGACGUCAGCAUCAGUGUUAGCUCUGCCUACCAGUAAUGAAGACUUCAUAGUGUAUUAUGAUGCGUCCCGUGUGGGAUUGGGUUGUGUGUUGAUGCAGAAUGAAAGGGUGAUUGCUUAUGCUUCUAGGCAGCUGAAGAAGCAUGAGUUGAAUUACCCUACACAUGACCUAGAGAUAGCAGCUGUAAUCUUUGCACUCAAGAUGUGGAGGCAUUACCUGUAUGGGGUAAGAUGUGAGAUCUUUACAGAUCAUAAAAGCUUGCAGUACAUCUUGAGUCAGAGAGAGUUGAACCUGAGGCAGAGAAGAUGGGUAGAACUGCUCAGUGACUAUGAUUGCAAGAUUCAGUACCAUCCGGGUAAGGCGAAUGUUGUGGCAGAUGCCCUAAGCCGGAAAUCACUUAGCAGUUUGUCCCAUAUUACAGCAGAGAGAAGACCAGUGGUGAGGGAGUUCUUCGAGCUCAUUAACGAAGGGCUACAGUUAGAGUUGUCUGGUACAGGUGCUUUGAUAGCCCAGAUGAGAGUGACACCUGUGUUUCUGGAGCAGGUGGCUCAGAAACAGCACGAGGACCCAGAGUUAGUGAAGAUUGCCAGGAUUGUUCAGUCAGGCAAGAAUGAUGAGUUCAGAUUUGACAGCAAGGGGAUCCUUCGUUAUGGGAGCAGAUUGUGUGUACCAGAUGACGGAGGUCUGAAGGGAGACAUUAUGAGGGAAGCUCAUAAUGCCAGAUACAGUGUUUACCCUGGAGCCACCAAAAUGUAUCAUGAUCUGAAAAGAGUGUAUUGGUGGCCAGCUAUGAAGAGAGAAGUGGCACAGUUCGUGUCCGCCUGCGAAGUAUGUCAGAGGGUGAAGCUGGAACAUCAGAAGCCGGCUGGAAUACUUAACUCACUGCCGAUUCCAGAAUGAAAAUGGGAGAAUAUAGCUAUGGAUUUCGUGGUGGGGUUACUGGCAGUGUCCAACAGAUUGGACUCCAUAUGGGUGAUUGUGGACAGGAGUGGCUAUUCUGUGUACAAAUUGGCGCAGGUAUUUGUUGAUGAAGUGGUCAGGUUGCAUGGGGCUCCUGUUUCAAUAGUGUCUGAUAGAGGACCCCAGUUCACCUCUAGGUUUUGGCGGAGUUUGCAGAGUGCUAUAGGUACCAGGCUAGACUUCAGCACUGCUUUCCAUCCUCAGACGGACUGACAAUCAGAGAAGACCAUCCAGACAAUAGAAGAUAUGCUCAGAAUGUGUGUGCUAGAUUUUGGAGAUUCUUGGAGGCAGCAUCUACCUUUGAUGGAGUUUGCCUACAAUAACAGCUAUUAUGCUAGCAUAGGGAUGGCUCCAUAUGAAGCUUUGUAUGGAAGGAAGUGCAGGUCACCUGUCUGCUGGGAGGAAGUUGGAGAGAGGUGCUUAGCGGAGCCUGAGUUAGUAGAGAUCACCAGCAGAGUAGUACCAAUUAUCAGAGAAAGAAUCAAGACUGCUGUAAGCAGGCAAAAGAGUUAUGCAGAUAUCCGCAGAAGACAAGUAGAGUUUCAGGAGGGGGAUUUGGUAUUGCUCAAGGUGUCUCCUAUGAAAGGGGUUGUUCGUUUUGGGAAGAAAGGUAAGUUAGCUCCACGGUACAUCGGACCCUUUGAAAUCUUGUAAAAGAUCGGGAAUGUAUCGUACAAGUUAGACUUACCUGCUUCAAUGGAGAGAAUCCAUCUGGUUUUCCAUGUUUCCAUGUUACGGAAGUUCGUGUCAAAUCCGGGCAAGGUUCUUAGUGAGCCUGAUAUGGAAAUCCUAGAAGAUCUCACCUAUGUUGAGCAGCCGGUGCGGAUCUUAGACACGCAAAUCAGAAAGCUAAGGAACAAGGAAAUCCCGAUGGUGAAAGUCCUUUGGAAUCACCACAACAUAGAAGAAUGUACCUGGGAGACACGGGACUCUAUGCUCCAGCAAUAUCCUUAUCUCUUCUAAGGUGAGUGUUAUGUGUUUUGUAUGUAUGUUUAUGUUUUAUGCUAUGUAUACUUGUUUGGUGAACAUUCGGGGACGAAUGUUCUUAAGGGGGGGAGAAUGUAAUACCCAGUUAGACUCCGGUAUCGGAAUUCCUACCGUCCGGUGGAAUCUCGGAUGUUGGAAACCUCUAGAAGGGUAAAAACAUGUUUUUAUAAAAUGUUUUCAUGUAUUUUAUGGUUUUAAGUAAGAAAGAAAUUGAGUUUUGAAUGAAAAAUACCAUAGAGGGAAAUCCAUGUUCGGCCGCCGAACAUGCAUGAGUUUUGGAGUCACCUUCGGCUUCCGAAGGUGGCUUGGCCAGCCACCUAUAAAAGGCCCCAUGGCCGAAAAUGGGCGAGCUUUCUCCCCUAUUUUCGGCCAACGGUGAGUCCAUGCCCUCCCAUGGUUGGUUUUGAUGAUUUUCCUCAAAUCUUUCAAGUUUUAACAAGUUUUAACUUGGUUUUGCAGAUUUUUGAAGCUAAGAUCAAGUUUUGGAGCUUGGAGACCCAAGAAGCUAGAUUUCUCCCAUCUCUAAGUUAGGAUCGUCUCUCCUCUCGAUCUUCAAGAGGUAAGCUUAGAUCCUACCUUUCUUGUAUGUUUUAAACAAGUUUUGAGGGGUUAUGGGGUAGAAAUGCAUGUUUAGGUUAAUGUUGAGUUUAUGGAUAAUGUGUGUUGUAUGAGUUGCUAUAUGUGUUUGUGUUGGGGUUUAGGUUAGUUUGAGACCCCUAUAUGCUUAUUUGCUUGUGUAUGCAUGUUGUAGAAUAGCUAAAUGCAUGUUUGAAUGGUUUGGGAGGCAAAAUGUGCAUGAGGAGGCUGAGUUCUGCCACUUUGGGAGAACUCAGGUUCAGCAGCCGAAGGACUUUCGGCAGCCGAACCUGCCUGUGGAGGCAAGCCUUUGGCUGCCGAACCCUGCCCCUGAAAGUUGGACUUUCGGCUCUGGAGGGGAGUUUCGGCCGCCGAAGGUGCCGCCGAACAUGCAUGAGUUUCAGCUCUAGAAUCACUUUCGGCCGCCGAAGGUGCUGCCAAAAGUGGCUGAGUUUCGGCUCUAGAGGGACUUUCGGCCGCCGAACCUGCCGCCGAAAGUGCCCUGUUCAGCCUUCCUUUGCAUGAUUUCUAUGAUUGUUUUAAGGUAUUUUAGGGGGUUUUUGGGGAGAUGUUUAGAGUCAUGUUCAUGUAUGUUUGGUCCCUCAUUUGAGUCCAGCUGUGUAGGUUCGGACCCGAGGAACCGAGGACCCCAGCAGUGAGAUAGCUGCUUCAGUGUCUUUUCAGAGCUAGCUUGAGGUGAGUAGAAUUAAUCUUUAUGUUUCAAAACAAAUAAAUCAAUUUGGAGCAUGUUCAUGCAUCACGAUUGCCAUAAGAUAUAUUAGGUUAUUUGCAUUAGAAUUCACGAAUAUGUUGCAUUGCAUAAUAUGAUGUUGUUGUGGAUGAACAUUGGAUGAUCCAUUAGCCCUCGUAUGAAAUGAUAUGGUAUGAUAUGAUGAUGAUACGGUAAAGAAGUCCACGAAGACCCAUUCUACGUCCCUGGCACUAUGUAAGAGAAAGUCCAGGAAGACCCAUUCUACGUCUCUGGCACCUUGGAAUGUUAUGAUAUGUUAUGUAAGAGAAAGACCAGGACCCAUUCCACGUUCUGGCACUAUUGGAAAUGUAGAGGGCUAUUGGUGACAAGUUCAUCUUUAAUGUGAAUUGUUUGUGAUGUGAUGCAUUUCAUGAAAGCAUGAAUUUUAAUAUAAUGUUUUCCUAUUCUGCUCACUGGGCUCUAGUAGCUCACCCCAUUCCCUUAAUCCCACAGGUUUGCAGGUACGGGAUAGACCAGGAAGUCAGCAAGAGUAAAGAAGUCAUGUUGUAUGUAAUAGUUAGAUGUGGACAUGUAAUGUAAAGUAUAGUAAUGUAAUGUAAUGUAAUGAUGUAUAUUGAGGUUUAGAGUUGUGCUUGACCCUAGUAUGUAAAGUAAAUCCCUUUUGCACAUGAU
rnacentral:lncRNA from 1 species